rnacentral:rRNA from 1 species
UGCCAGCCGCCGCGGUAAUACGGAGGGUGCGAGCGUUAAUCGGAAUUACUGGGCGUAAAGAGCACGUAGGCGGUUGUGUAAGUUGGAUGUGAAAGUCCCGGGCUUAACCUGGGAAAGCCAUUUGAUACUGCACGACUGGAAUACAAGAGAGGUAAGUGGAAUUUCCGGUGUAGCGGUGAAAUGCGUAGAGAUCGGAAGGAACACCGGUGGCGAAGGCGGCUGCCUGGCCUGAUACUGACACUGAGGCACGAAAGCGUGGGUAGCAAACAGGAUUAGAUA